CCUACGGGUGGCAGCAGUGGGGAAUAUUGCACAAUGGGGGAAACCCUGAUGCAGCGACGCCGCGUGAGUGAAGAAGUAAUUCGUUAUGUAAAGCUCUAUCAGCAGGGAAGAAAAUGACGGUACCUGAGUAAUAAGCCACGGCUAACUACGUGCCAGCAGCCGCGGUAAUACGUAGGGGGCAAGCGUUAGCCGGAUUUACUGGGUGGAAAGGGAGCGUAGACGGUAGUGCAAGUCUGGAGUGAAAGGCGGGGGCUCAACCCCCGGACUGCUCUGGAAACUGUACGGCGGGAGUGCAGGAGAGGUAAGUGGAAUUCCUAGUGUAGCGGUGAAAUGCGUAGAUAUUAGGAGGAACACCAGUGGCGAAGGCGGCUUACUGGACUGUAACUGACGUUGAGGCUCGAAAGCGUGGGGAGCAAACAGGAUUAGAUACCCUGGUAGUC
rnacentral:rRNA from 1 species